rnacentral:rRNA from 1 species
CGAAGGGGCUAGCGUUGCUCGGAAUUACUGGGCGUAAAGGGCGCGUAGGCGGAUCGUUAAGUCAGAGGUGAAGUCCCAGGGCUCAACCCUGGAACUGCCUUUGAUACUGGCGAUCUUGAGUGUGAGAGAGGUAUGUGGAACUCCGAGUGUAGAGGUGAAAUUCGUAGAUAUUCGGAAGAACACCAGUGGCGAAGGCGACAUACUGGCUCAUUACUGACGCUGAGGCGCGAAAGCGUGGGGAGCAAACAGGAUU